AGAGUUUGAUCCUGGCUCAGGAUGAACGCUGGCGGCGUGCCUAAUACAUGCAAGUCGAACGAAGAUCUAGCUUGCUAGAUCUUAGUGGCGAACGGGUGAGUAAUACAUAAAUAAUCUGCCCAUUGGACUGGGAUAACUAUUGGAAACGAUAGCUAAUACCGGAUAGGUGAUUUGAAGGCAUCUUCGGAUCAUUAAAGUAGGGUCACUACACCAAUGGAUGAGUUUAUGGCGCAUUAGUUAGUUGGCGGGGUAACGGCCCACCAAGACGAUGAUGCGUAGCCGACCUGAGAGGGUGACCGGCCACACUGGGACUGAGACACGGCCCAGACUCCUACGGGAGGCAGCAGUAGGGAAUUUUCGGCAAUGGGCGCAAGCCUGACCGAGCAACGCCGCGUGAGUGAUUAAGGCCUUCGGGUUGUAAAGCUCUGUUGUAAGGGAAGAACAUUCAGGAUAGGAAAUGAUCUUGAACUGACGGUACCUUACCAGAAAGCCACGGCUAACUACGUGCCAGCAGCCGCGGUAAUACGUAGGUGGCAAGCGUUAUCCGGAAUUAUUGGGCGUAAAGGGUGCGUAGGCGGUUUAUUAAGUCUAUGGUGAAAGUGCGGGGCUCAACCCCGUAUGGCCAUAGAAACUAGUAGACUUGAGUGCAGGAGAGGGCAAUGGAAUUCC
rnacentral:rRNA from 1 species